CCUGCAGAGGUUGUGCUCGCUGCAGAAUGUCUGGCAGGAAGAAGAAGAAAGUCACCAAAGCUGAACGAUUAAAGCAGCUACAAGAGGAGGAGGAAAGACGGCAAAAAGAGGAAGAGGAAGCCCGUGUGAAAUAUGAAAAAGAAGAAAUGGAAAGGCUUGAACUAGAACGGAUUGAGAAAGAAAAAUGGAAUCAACUCGAAUCAAAAGUAUAUAAACAUUAGUAUUGUUAUC
rnacentral:lncRNA from 1 species